CUCAACAGGGUGCGCUGGUCGUCGGGGGGGAAGGAAGUAGCUGUGGGAGACUCAGAGGGCCGGGUCUGGAUCUACGACACGGGAGAGCUGUCAGUGACCCACACCGACGACUGGGCGCGCUUCGCUCGGACCCUGAUGGAGAUCCGGGCCAACCGGGCGGACGGCGAGGAGGAGGGGCCUAUGGAGCUGGCUUCAUAGAACAGGACUCCAAAACCAAAGCGGAGGGAAUCAGAGAGCUGGCGGGCUUUUAUCGGUGUCACUGUAGCAUGUGCUCCUCACUCAGUUUCAUUUCAGUUCCCCACCUUUACCUACAUGUUCCUGUCUGAUGCAAACGAGGCUUCUGUUGUGUUUUUUCGCAUUUGCUCUCCUGUAAAUGCAAACUGUCCUUUACGAAGGGUCAACGGUUGACUCCUACUGAUUUGUCCGCCCUUAUUUAUUCGUUUAAUGACUUCAGGUGAUGUGUUUCUUGCAACUCGUGAGCCUACGGUAUAUAAAGAGUGGCAGUCUUAUAGCCUUAUGAAGAUAUGUGUACUGUAACAAUGCUUUGCACUACCGUAAAAAUAAAGCAGGGUCCAUAGACUAGUCAUGUUUACAACGAGUCACGUUCACUUUAUGUUGUGCUUCUUUUCUCUGUAUCAAGCCUGCAUGCGACACAUUCCUAAAAUAUUCCCGAAACAUGGAGUUAAUAUGGUGACGUAAUCACACGUGGGGCGUUGUUGCUGCUUUAUGUCGGUGUUUGAGUCGGUACGUCGGAAUCAAGUGUGGUUUUGGGCACUUUGUCUUCAGUUACUGAAUGAGAGCUUCAACUGUAUAUUCUCUAAUGAACUGUAACAAGAGGUAUAUUGUAAUUCAGAGUGAUGGCUGUUAAACCUGCUAUGUUUACUAUUAAAGCGUAGCCAAUAAACUGC